CUUAUACUCCCUCCAUUCCGAAUUACUUGUCGCUGGUAUAGAUGUAUCUAGAUGUAUUUUAGUUCUAGAUACAUCCAUUUUUGCGAUAAGUAAUUUGGAACGGAGGGAGUAUCUU
rnacentral:pre_miRNA from 1 species